CUGACCUUGAUCUUUUUACUAGACAGUACUAUAUAAGCCACGGAACCAUAUUUAUUUACUAUGCCAAUACCAUCAAUGGAUGAUAUCGAGCCUUGUUGGGUGUUCUUACCCAGCAAAAAAUGUAAAUAUGUGACAGUGAAACAAGAUGAGACUUGUGGAGCAUUUAAACCUUGUACCUAUUUCUGCAAAAUAAAGCUCGGAGAAACCCAGUGCCAAAUAAAUGUUUUGCUCGAAGGCUACAUUUCGCAACUGAAGCUUGAAGGCUCGCACUGGCUUCCAGUAUCUAAUCUUAAAUCUUGCUUUGAUGGUUUCUCUUUAUAGAGCGUUGGACGUCUUAUUCUAGCAGUUUUCGAGAUUGCAUUGUAAAGAGGAUGGGCGCAAGUAGCUGAAAAAUAUUUGAACUUGUGCAAGUUGGUUGUACUUCAAUCAGAUCUUAGCUGUUGUACUUGAGGUGCUUGGCGAUUCUGUUUCCUAAAUUAGGGAACUUGCUCUUUCUGUGAUGGUUCAAACUUCAAAUGCUUAAUUAUCAGGUUUCAAAUGAAGCAAAGGAGUGUUUAACAUUAGUUUUUUAUCUCAGUAUGAUCCAUUCAUAUGCCUAACUGUUACUAUGCCAUUAUUAUUCAGUGAAGAUGAGAAGACUCUCAUUACUUGCAUUAACUGUCUGACCAAGGUAUCUUUUGUUCAGCUCUUGUUACAUACCCCUAUGUGCUGCCUGCAUAUCCUAAUGUUUCUGCUGAAUUUUUUGACUUGAUGUGAUAUAUAGCACAAGUAAAUUACUAAUCAAUUUUUUGACCUGAUGUGAAAUUGAAUUCUCUUACUCAAUGGUUUCGCAUGCUGGAAGAUCACACUUCCACAGUUAGAGACUUAGCUUAGUGCCCAUUCCAGGCUUACUUGCUUGCUUCUGGUGGAGGUGCAGCUAAUGGAUGGUAGUUAACCUUUUUAAGUUAGAUUGAAUAUAUCCUUAACGAGUUUCGAAACCCAAACCUAGGCGCUAUAAAUUCGGUAAGUUCUGUUGCUUAUUGGAAAGAGUUGUCUAUUUUAAGUUUUGUAAAAUACAAUUUCACAACCAAUUGUAUGCACCGACCAAUCAAAAACUCUGAACUGCCAGGGGUUGAAUCAUGAGGGCAUUGGUAGUGCUGGUGUCAAAAAGAUUGUUCAGUAUAGAGCUUAUUAACAACUGAAGCUGACUGAUUUAUAUUAACUGAUGUUUGAGCUUUCAAAUUCAGAAACUUGGGUUCUUGAGCUAAGUUAGGUAAUCUGAAAUUUAGUGGUAUUCUGUAGAUUGUUAUUUCUUUUUUAAAUCACCCCCAUUUA